GAUCCAAGCUCUAUGGUACAGCAUCUGCUUUUCAUGCAGAAGGUUCCUGGUUCAAUCCCAAGCAAGGUCA